rnacentral:rRNA from 1 species
GACGAACGCUGGCGGCGUGCUUAACACAUGCAAGUCGAACGGAAAGGCCCUGCUUUUGUGGGGUGCUCGAGUGGCGAACGGGUGAGUAACACGUGAGUAACCUGCCCUUGACUUUGGGAUAACUUCAGGAAACUGGGGCUAAUACCGGAUAGGAGCUCCUGCUGCAUGGUGGGGGUUGGAAAGUUUCGGCGGUUGGGGAUGGACUCGCGGCUUUUCAGCUUGUUGGUGGGGUAGUGGCUUACCAAGGCUUUGACGGGUAGCCGGCCUGAGAGGGUGACCGGCCACAUUGGGACUGAGAUACGGCCCAGACUCCUACGGGAGGCAGCAGUGGGGAAUAUUGCACAAUGGGCGGAAGCCUGAUGCAGCAACGCCGCGUGCGGGAUGACGGCCUUCGGGUUGUAAACCGCUUUCGCCUGUGACGAAGCGUGAGUGACGGUAAUGGGUAAAGAAGCUCCGGCUAACUACGUG